GGCGGAUUAGGAUAGAGCGCUUCGUUUACACCGAAGAUGUCGGGAGUUCGAGUCUCUCAUCACCCA
rnacentral:tRNA from 1 species